AAGGUCCUGGGUGAAACGGAAAACGCAUUAAUCAGCGUUCCCUUCUGUCAGGACAAUAGGUCGUAUGGCUAGGGAGGAUUUCUAAAUUCGGUUUCGAAUCUCAGGCCGGUAGGGCCAAACGAGGUUUCUACACCUAAAUGAAU